rnacentral:lncRNA from 12 species
AUGUUUUUAUACAUUUAUAUUGUCCUCCUCUUAGAGGUGCCAGCAGCUGUGCUGGGAGUGAGUUUGGAUCAAGGUCCAAAGGCUUUGGUUAAGGCAGCUGGCAAAACUGUGUAUCUGCCCUGCAAAGUGACCGAUUUGCAAUCUUGGAAUUAUAUACAUUGGUACCAAAUAAAAGAGGGUGAAGCCCCAUCCAGACUACUGUAUAUCAGUCAUGGAGGCGAUGUCACUCGUGAUACUAACAAUCCCCAAGCAACUGACUUCACAGUGGACAAAACAAAGCUUUAUGAUCUAAAACUGAGUGAUACUCAGACGAGUCAUGCUGGCAUUUACUUCUGCGCCUACUGGGACACAAGCAGCCACAGUGAGAAGAUUUAUACACAUCCUGUACAUGAACUAAUGAAUAAAAUAUUUAAAUACUUAAAUUGUCAUUUUCUGUUUAAGUUCUUAAUUUGACUUAAGCUGGGUGACAGGAUGGCUGGGUGAUGAUGGUAUUUGGAUCUGUUUGGAUUGGAACUACAGUAUAUGUAAUUGCCUUGGCGUUCAUGGACACAUUAAACAAAUUAAUCUGUGAGGUUAUUUGUCCUCACCAAUUUAACAACAGCACUUUUUAAAUAGGGGAGAGUAGGGGCAGUUGCAACAUGGCAUAUUUUUUCAAUCAUGAAUGAGUUAGUAAUGAUAUGCAUACUGCACAUGCUCAAUUAGCCCAUCAUCCUUCCUGAAAGAAAGCAGCCACGUGUGACCAUUGCUUCUGCAAAAAAAAAAAAUUUUUUCAAAGUAAAAAAGUAUUCUUUUUUAUGAUCAGAUUUUUUUGUCAUAGUGUCUAAGCUGUUUGCAUGAAACACUGUAAUGUCAUAUUUUAAUAAGUGUUUUAUUAGCUUCUAAUUGGCAUAGCUACCAUGUGUCAAAGAUAUUGUGUUUUAUCACAGAUGUCAGUGUAGGGACAGUUGCAAUACUUUGCUGCAACCAUCCCAACAUGCUGUCCCUUACAACAACAUUGAUGUAAAAGCUUGCCAUAACUUUACAAAAUUGUUAUUUUAUGGAUUAAUAAAGAACCCAUUUCAAAAGUCAGGUAUCUCUCAUUUUUACUUAAGUAAAUAGGUUUUUAAAAAUCAGUCUAAUGUGGAUUUAUUUCCUUCUCUCUCAUCUCUUUGUCUCUCACACACACAUACAUUACACACACACACACACACACACACACACACACACACACACACACACACACACACACACACACACACACACACACAAACACACACACACACACACACACACAUACACAAACACACACACACUUAUAAAGUCAAUUGGAUAAAAUGGUAGAUUUGUCUAAUUUGAAUC